GUGGAUUAGAUACCCUGGUAGUCCACGCCGUAAACGAUGAUAACUAGCUGUCCGGGCACAUGGUGUUUGGGUGGCGCAGCUAACGCAUUAAGUUAUCCGCCUGGGGAGUACGGUCGCAAGAUUAAAACUCAAAGGAAUUGACGGGGGCCUGCACAAGCGGUGGAGCAUGUGGUUUAAUUCGAAGCAAUGCGCAGAACCUUACCAGCGUUUGACAUCCUCAUCGCGAUUUCCAGAGAUGGAUUUCUUCAGUUCGGCUGGAUGAGUGACAGGUGCUGCACGGCGGUCGACAACU
rnacentral:rRNA from 1 species